UACGGAGGGGGCUAGCGUUGUUCGGAAUUACUGGGCGUAAAGGGCGCGUAGGCGGCCUUCUAAGUCGGACGUGAAAUCCCUCGGCUCAACCGAGGAACUGCGUCUGAUACUGGAAGGCUUGAAUCCGGGAGAGGGAUGUGGAAUUCCAGGUGUAGCGGUGAAAUGCGUAGAUAUCUGGAGGAACACCGGUGGCGAAGGCGGGUCUCUGGGCCGUAACUGACGCUGAGGAGCGAAAGCGUGGGGAGCGAACAGG
rnacentral:rRNA from 1 species